CAUUUUGUUCUUGCAGAAAGCUACGCAGAGAAAGGAACUAGCACAUGGGUGCAUACCCAGCAACAGGUUGUCCAAGCAACUAACUUACGCAUACCACUUCGCCACCAGCAAGCCUAGCAAGAGAGCUUCUAUAAAUACGGGGAGUUGCAAGGGGAAGUCCAUCCGCACAUUCAUUCUAUUCUAGAUUGCAUCACAAAAGAACAUUCUUGUAAUAGUCACGCAAUUGCAGCUUCUGGGCCUGCAGUUGUUUAACACUACCGAUCCAUCAUCAGCAUGACAAUCAAGUCUUGUCUGGUACUGCUGCUCCCUUUGGCACUGCUGCUUCUCGCCAGCAGCUCGCCGGCAGCGGCCCAGCUGGAGGUCGGCUACUACAGCAAGACGUGCCCGAACGUCGAGGCCAUCGUCCGAGAGGAGAUGGAGAAAAUAAUCUCCGCCGCGCCCAGCCUCGCCGGCCCGCUCCUCAGGCUCCAUUUCCACGACUGCUUCGUCAGGGGUUGUGAUGCCUCCGUCCUGCUCAACUCCAGCGAGGGCAACCUGGCCGAGCGGGACGCCAAGCCGAACAAGAGCCUGCGGGGCUUCGGUUCUGUGGACAGGGUGAAGGCCAAGCUCGAAGCCGCCUGCCCCAACACCAUCUCCUGCGCCGACGUCGUCACCCUCAUGGCGCGCGACGCCGUCGUGCUUGCCAAGGGCCCCUUCUGGCCCGUCGCGCUGGGGAGGAGAGACGGCAGCGUGUCCAGUGCCACGGAGGCGGCCGACCAGCUGCCGCCCGCCAACGGUGACGUCCCGCUGCUCGCCAAGAUCUUCGCCUCCAAGGGCCUCGACCUCAAGGACCUCGUCGUCCUCUCCGGCGCGCACACCCUCGGCACGGCGCACUGCCCGUCGUACGCCGAUCGGCUCUACAACUUCAGCAGCGCCUACAGCGCCGACCCAACCCUGGACAGCGAGUACGCCGACAAGCUGAGGACGCGCUGCAAGAGCGUCGACAACAAGGCCAUGCUGUCCGAGAUGGACCCUGGCAGCUACAAGACCUUCGACACCAGCUACUACCGCCACGUCGCCAAGCGCCGGGGGCUCUUCCAGUCCGACGCCGCGCUGCUCACCGACGCCACCACCAGGGAGUAUGUCCAGCACAUCGCCACCGGCAAGUUCGACGAUGUGUUCUUCAAGGACUUCAGUGAGUCCAUGGUCAAGAUGGGCAACGUCGGCGUGCUCACCGGUGCCCAGGGCGAGAUCAGGAAGAAGUGCUACAUCAUCAACUAGUAGACUAGCUGCUAGCGGAAGCUUUUGCACCAGCACGAAAUUGCCAAGUCUACGCACGUACAGCUUAAGCAAUAUACGAAGCUGGGUCCGAAAAGGCAUCUCGGUUUCCCCCUUAAUGAAAACAUGCUCAGGCACGGUCGCAAAAAAAAAAGACAUCUCAAUGCUAGCUCCAGGUUGAGAAUAGGAGCUGUUUGAUAGCUUUCUUGCCAGUUAAUAGUUGAAAAUGUACUCCCUUCGCCUUUGAAAAGUGCAAUUCUAGGUUUGAAAAAAAGAUUUCACAAAGAGUGCAAAUCUUAAAAAUUAGAUCUCAACUACCUGCCGAAUUAAAUGGGGACGGAGGGAUCGGAGUAUGUAUCAACGACAACAAUGAAGUUGAAAUUGAAGCGCCAUUGCUUGGUCAUGAAGCUGAGUAGUCCAUGUACUAUACAGUAGGACUAAGCUUUAGAGUAAUUAAUAACCUAUUCAAUAUGUGGCACAGUCAACCCGGCCUAUUCAAGCAAAGCAUUCGCCCCGUUCAAUAUAUA